UUUCACCUCUUGACUGGGGAAAGCCCCCCCCGCCUCGCUAAUACGUAAGGUGCAAGCGUUAUCCGGAAUUAUUGGGCGUAAAGGGCUCGUAGGCGGUUCGUCGCGUCCGGUGUGAAAGUCCAUCGCUUAACGGUGGAUCCGCGCCGGGUACGGGCGGGCUUGAGUGCGGUAGGGGAGACUGGAAUUCCCGGUGUAACGGUGGAAUGUGUAGAUAUCGGGAAGAACACCAAUGGCGAAGGCAGGUCUCUGGGCCGUUACUGACGCUGAGGAGCGAAAGCGUGGGGAGCGAACAGGAUUAGAUACCCUGGUAGUCCACGCCGUAAACGGUGGAUGCUGGAUGUGGGGCCCGUUCCACGGGUUCCGUGUCGGAGCUAACGCGUUAAGCAUCCCGCCUGGGGAGUACGGCCGCAAGGCUAAAACUCAAAGAAAUUGACGGGGGCCCGCACAAGCGGCGGAGCAUGCGGAUUAAUUCGAUGCAACGCGAAGAACCUUACCUGGGCUUGACAUGUUCCCGACGAUCCCAGGGAUGGGGUUUCCCUUCGGGGCGGGUUCACAGGUGGUGCAUGGUCGUCGUCAGCUCGUGUCGUGAGAUGUUGGGUUAAGUCCCGCAACGAGCGCAACCCUCGCCCCGUGUUGCCAGCGGAUUAUGCCGGGAACUCACGGGGGACCGCCGGGGUUAACUCGGAGGAAGGUGGGGAUGACGUCAGAUCAUCAUGCCCCUUACGUCCAGGGCUUCACGCAUGCUACAAUGGCCGGUACAACGGGAUGCGACAGUGCGAGCUGGAGCGGAUCCCUGAAAACCGGUCUCAGUUCGGAUCGCAGUCUGCAACUCGACUGCGUGAAGGCGGAGUCGCUAGUAAUCGCGAAUCAGCAACGUCGCGGUGAAUGCGUUCCCGGGCCUUGUACACACCGCCCGUCAAGUCAUGAAAGUGGGCAGCACCCGAAGCCGGUGGCCUAACCCCUUGCGGGAGGGAGCCGUCUAAGGUGAGGCUCGUGAUUGGGACUAAGUCGUAACAAGGUAACCAAUCGA
rnacentral:rRNA from 1 species